rnacentral:lncRNA from 1 species
UGCCUGGCAACUUCCUCCCCUCGUAACCUCUUGUAACCACCUAAAUGACUGAUGCUGAGAGGUUCUUUCCAGACUGGCUUUACCAGGCAGCUGCUACAGGCUUUUGGUGUCAUUUAGUACUGAAGAGGAAAAUGACAGCGCCCUUUUAUACAAUCUCUUGUGUGUGAGGAAUGUUUAGUGAAGAUUUUUAGUCUUUUUUUUUUUUCUUUUUUUUUAUUUUUUUUAAAUGUAUGUUUUACGUCAUUUUGUUACUUUUUAUACAUGCAUUUUUUUGGAUCCCAAUAAAUUAUUUUAUACCGUUUUAUUGAAGUUGUAUUACUGAUUGUUUCAGAAUGAGGUAGUAUUGUACAAGUAUGUUUAAUUUAAGUGAAAAGCUUCUCUGGCAGUUUUAAUCGGAGUAUGUUUUAGCCUAAAUUUAG